rnacentral:misc_RNA from 1 species
GAUGAAGAACGCAGCGAAAUGCGAUAAGUAGUGUGAAUUGCAGAAUUCAGUGAAUCAUCGAAUCUUUGAACGCACAUUGCGCCCCUCGGUAUUCCGUGGGGCAUGCCUGUUCGAGCGUCAUUUCAACCCUCAAGCCCCCGGGCUUGGUGUUGGGGAUCGGCGUGCCCUCGCGGCGCGCCGUCCCCUAAAUCUAGUGGCGGUCUCGCUGUAGCUUCCUCUGCGUAGUAGCAACACUCGCACUGGAUCGCAGCGCGGCCACGCCGUUAAACCCCCCACUUCUGAAAGUUUGACCUCGGAUCAGGUAGGAAUACCCGCUGAACUUAAGCAUAUCAAUAAGCGGAGGA